rnacentral:misc_RNA from 1 species
GUUUCCGAUUCUUAAUUUCCUUUCCUGUCCUGCAAAUUUACAACCUACCACUAUGGACAACGAAUUUUCAACGAAACGUCUCGUUAACCGUCAAAACUCCGGAUACCACGAAACGUUUUUAUACUAGUCAUUUUUUUCCAUUUUUUUAAUACCAUUUUUUUCUACAAGGCAGAAAGCGACUCGGCCUGCCACUGCACACCCGCUGUAUCACCGGCAGAUGAAUAGUUCUCGUCCGAGUGGUUAAACAAUCCACCUAACGCCACAAAAUCUCCGCUGUCAUUGUAGCUACCGUUAUAACUAUUGCCAGCCGAGUCACCCAUCAGUCCAAACUCAAACGAGUCAUAACUCGGUAUCUCGUUCUCGAAUCCUAGCAUUUCACCGAAACCUUCGGCGCCAGAUCCGCUUGUUUCAGCAGCCAAAUCCACUGUACUUCUCUUUUCCUCGCCAGAAAACGUCGGCGGCAAACCAAGCUCAUCGUCCGAAGCUUCCAGAAGAUAGCCAAGUUCCGGCUGGGAUACCCCGCCAUAACACUCCACAUUCGUCGUCUCCGGACCAACAACCGGCACGAGGAUUUCUUCUUCAAAGCUUCUGAUAACGGAGUCAAGGCCUUGAAUAGUCUGGUCAUCCCACUCAUCAAGAAUGUUUAGCAAAUCAUCGUGGAUCCGCUUAGCAUCCGGAGAGUUAAGACCAGAGCCAUUCGAGUCAAUAAGGUUAUGAACACCCUUGCACGAGUUCACACUCGAGUUAUCCGAGUCCAGGUGGCUUUCACCGAGAUCGGGCGAGUCGCCACACGACUCAACCCGAGUGAGUUUGGACUCGGGAGAGUCACGAUCUGAGUCAUCUCGGGGUCGUUUCCUGUUGUUUUCAGAUUCUUGGUCCAUUAAAUAAUAUAAUGGGUUUCACGUUCAGGUUCUAAGGGGACAGAGCAAAUCUAAUCAAAGAGAUUUUGUGGGUCGUUAGCAUAUAAUAAUAAGAGAGGAGAGAGAAGGGUGUUUGGUUGAUGGGAAAGGGUUAGCAAAAGAGAGAAAAACAAAAAGCCGUGAUUUAAGGAGAGGUGACUGUUGUAGAGAGAGAAAAACG